rnacentral:lncRNA from 1 species
UUAAAAACGUUGGUGUGUGGAGUAACUUGGGCAGCUUGCUCAUGAGUGCCGUGUGCCUGUGGGCUCUUUGAUGACGUCUUCCCUGAAAACCCGGUGUUCUCUCUACGCCCCCUGCACGGGCCUCCCCCUCGGCUGAGUGUGUUUCUCUCUCAUUCCUUCCUCCUUGCGCAUCAGAAGAGCCCCUGCCAGGGGCGCCUGGCAAGUGCUGUGCCCACGUCUGCCCAGGACCCAGCCGUGUUGAGUGAAGCUCUUGGGGCCAGCGUGCGCCCUGACGCACAGGAGAGAGCUGAAGGCUGUGACAAACCCUGUGCCCACGCUGCCUCCACUGCCGGGAGACUCAGGGCUGGGGGAGACAUGCCCUGGUCACCACUGCGGAGACUCAGGGCUGGGGGAGACAUGCCCUGGCCACCAGUGGUGAGCCAGCGAGACAGGACCCCGUGCGCGCUGACCCGGGGACGCCACGGAACUUGCUCGCAAUUCCUGCUCACAGCACGUUUCCUGUUCGGAAACCAGGAGAGCCUCCACGUGCCAACUAGCUCUGUCCACACAUCCAUUGCGCAGCUCUGCAGCGGAAGGACCUUCAGUAAAGACGCUGGUUUGUAAUGAGAGAAGCGUUCCAAAGUGUCACACGACAUUGUUUAUUACUAAAAGGAGCAGAAUUUCUUUUUAAUCUUGACAGUGUUGUUUUUGUAACAGUAUGAUUUAAACUGUUUCAUUUAGGAAAACUUUUUUUCAUUUCAUAAGUAAUCAAGCUAUCUUUCCAGCUUAAAAGCAAAGAAAAAAGGCUCAGGGUAACUUUUUAAACCACUUCAUCAAUAAGAAAAGUUCUCUCUGUCAUUGCACGGCAUGAUUGUACACAGUAUUAGCAAGCAGUUCACAUGGGCCAGGGCCGACUUGGAAGGAAACACAGGUUAACACUGUUUUCUUUCCGAGUUCACAGAGAUGUUUGCAGCAGGCUCAGUUGCUUUGGCAGCUGGAGCGAGGGUGCCUCUUCCGCGUGGCUCCCCUGAGCAGAGAGGCCCCUGUGGUUUUUUUCUCCGCCGGGCUCUGGGGACAGGGUUUCUGUGGAAAUGGCAAAUGGUGCAGAUGAGCAGAGUCCUGCUAGAGAGGUCAGCUCAGCGUCCAGGAGGGGGUGCCUGCCCCCGAGGAGGCCACGGACGUGCCUGGGAAGUUGCUGCUGGAGAAGUGUGCUCUGAUGUGGCCACACUUGGGGACGCGGGCUCCCCAGAGGCCCAAGCGAGAAAGCCGGGGGUUCCCAGGCUGGGGGUGCAGGACGGGUCAGGCACUGCCCUGCAGGGCCCGCCCCCCUGCCCCUGCACCCUCACACCCAUCUUCCUCUCUCAGCCUGACCCCAGGGCCUGGGAGCCCCCGGCAGACCGGCCCUCCUUUCCAAACAGUGGCUGCCCUUUAUGGACUCGGCGCCUGGCAGAGCCACUGUGGAGGAGGAGUUGGCUGUCAUGGUCAGGGGAGGCAGCCCUUGGGUUGUCAAGGUUGGUGGUCAACGUUGAAGCCAUAUCUGCUGGAAUCUCCCGGUCUGUUCCACACACGAUCAUGCGGGAAGCUCUGGGACCCGAAGGCUGUUUUGAUCUUGGGGGUCACAAGUUCUCACAGCAGCCUGGGGUCACCAGGGAGCAGACCCGGCAUUAGCCUCUGUAAGGAGCUGCCUGGCUGCUGGGCUGAGCUUUGUUGCAGGCCCAGGAAGAUGACCAAGAAGGACAGAGCAGAGCCCCAUCCACCACUGCUGGGAGGGCCCGAGGGAGCACGUGCACAGCAGAGCCCCAUCCUCCACUCCCUGGGCUGGAAGAGGCUUCCUCGGUGUGGAUGGCAGCUGUUAACGAGCAGUGGUGGUGCAGCUGGAGGCCUCUGUCCCAUGGGGCACAGACAGGGGGGAAGGAUGGCGGACGGGUGUACAUGCUUGGGAGGACGGGCGGGCGGCAUAGGCCUGAGCAGGUGGCGUGGGCGCACGAGAAGGGUGUGUCUGACACAGGAUGUUUAUCCCAAAUGCCAGGAGUGGACGAGGCGGACGAGUGGCAGUGAGGUAGGCAUGUGAGGUUGUUGCCUGGCCCACUCUGCCGACCCCAGAAACCCAGCGGCCUGGGCCCAGCACCCGGAUACACAUGGGGUGAGCUCACGCCCACACUGUGGCCUGUGCCCGUCACGGGGCUGCUUGCUUCUCCUAGGCUUGGGAACAAGCUGGCAUGAACGCUGUGGCCGCAUUCACAGCUCAGGCACUUCCACUUUGGGUUUCAUGAAGAAACAGACUUAAAGAGCAUUUGUUCCUAAUGGGUGGGCUGAAGCUUGGGAGGAGCAUUCAGCUUCUCUCCACAGUAUGGCUUCACCUGUUCCUGAGCGCCCUACUACCCUCUUGCUAACCUGGGUGGCUGAGGUCCUCUGCUUUGGUGGCGUUGACUGCCUGUCUGCAGCCAGCGCCAGGUGCCAGCCCCUGUCUCUGCUCAUCAGGAAGCGCUGGCCUGCAGGUGCUUUGUGGUUGCCACGGACCCUUGUUCUGUCCCUUUCCAGCACCCACCCCCCACCCGCUGUGCGUUCCGUAGUUCAUUUUCAAGGCAGGGGGCACAUGGUGAAAAUACAGCCUGGCUUUUUUUCAACAAAUGCAGCUGCACUUUUCCUUGCUUGUUUUGAAGGCUGAGCCGGCAAUCUCCUUGGCACCUGGGGACAGUCGCUUCCUCAGUUUCUGCGUACCGACUGCCUCACCUGACACGCGGCCUGGGCGCGAGAGAAGCCAACCAGGUGCCUGAGUUGACUGACUGUUUACGCCCUCCAACCUCCUCCCUCCGCCCUCCAACCUC